GGAUUAGAUACCCUGGUAGUCCACGCCGUAAACGAUGAGAACUAGGUGUUGGGUCGCCUUGAGCGACGCAGUGCCGCAGCUAACGCAUUAAGUUCUCCGCCUGGGGAGUACGGCCGCAAGGCUAAAACUCAAAGGAAUUGACGGGGGCCCGCACAAGCGGUGGAGCAUGCGGUUUAAUUCGAUGCAACGCGAAAAACCUUACCUAUCCUUGACAUCCUGGGAAUUCUUUAGUGAUAAAGAAGUGCCUUCGGGAACCCAGUGACAGGUGCUGCAUGGCUGUCGUCAGCUCGUGCCG
rnacentral:rRNA from 1 species